UAUGGCUUUUUGACCAAAAUGAAAAAGCUGCAAAAGUAGAAGCAAAAGCCCAAACAAACAGGGCCUAAGUAGCUUCAAGGCCUAACUAAUUGUCUAGGUUGCUUCUUGCUUGUACUUACCCAACUUCAUACGCAUGCUUGGAUCAUUCCCCGAACAAUACAUUAUAGAUACCACACAUAUACAUGCACCUCAGCACCGCCCACAUCGAUCUCCCACUCCUACAAAUAGAGGCAUAUAACAACCAACGUUGUCCAAGUCCAUCAACUGAUAUUUGCCUGUGCUCUGUCGCCGGCCGUUCAUCAGUUGAACAGAUCAAACCGGUCGGUACGUAGAGGUGCCGUGCGUGCGACGAUGAGCUCCACGGGAACGUCGCCGGCGGCGGCAAGAAGGCGUCGUGGCCGGAGGUGGUCGGGCUGCCGGCCGAUGAGGCAAGGCCGUCAUCCUCAAGGACAAGCCCGACGCCGACGUGAUCUUCGUGCCUUUCGGGGCGGGGGUGCAGCAGGACCUCAGGCUAAACCGCGUCCGCGUCUUCGUCGGCACCAUCGCCAGCGUGGUGACCGUCGUCCUCGCCCCCAAGGUUGGCUAGGGUGUAUGGUUAGCUCAUGAAAUAAUGAUAUCAACUUGCAAAUUGAUUUCAUUUAUGUGUGUUGUUGUAUUGUUUAAUGUUUAUUUUUGAGUUUCGGUUUUAAGACACGUAAUGGUGAAACGUUGAAUUUGCGGGCAUGUACGGCCCUGCGAAAGAAGGCAACACAAAGUACUCCCUCCGUGAACAAUUUGCGAGCAUCUAUGGCCUAUGGAGUAGUAGUAGCUAGCAGGCUGCAUAUUUGACCCUGCAAGAGGCAACAGUAAAUAGCUGUGGAGCAGCACCUGACUGCAAGGGCAUGUCAUUAUAUUUGUAUAUUUGACCAUGAUUUGGAAAAAAAAUCAAAAACGA